rnacentral:tRNA from 1 species
UGGAUCACCUCCUAACAGGGAGACAACAAAAUGUUUAUUAUUAUUUUGUCACCUUAGGUCGAUCGGUAUCUCACGUUUUUAAUUUAUUAAGAAUUUCAUUUCCUAGGUUUUUCUAGGUCACACCCAUUAUUUUUCCUGGGCCAUUAGCUCAGGUGGUUAGAGCGCACCCCUGAUAAGGGUGAGGUCCCUGGUUCAAGUCCAGGAUGGCCCAUAUCUCUAUGUUGGGGGUAUAGCUCAGUUGGUAGAGCGCCUGCUUUGCAAGCAGGAUGUCAGCGGUUCGAGUCCGCUUACCUCCACUGAUUACCACCUCUUCCAUAACCGGUAGUAAGGAAAUGUUUUGAGUUGUGAUCAAAUUCUGAAAGAAUCUAGCUUCCUAAUGAAAUCAUUAAGAUGCUGGACUCAUUGAAUUAAUUUCAUUGUUUUCAGAGAACCUUGACAACUGCAUAGAUUAUUUUUAAAGACAAUAAGCAUCUUUAAUGAUGCAGAUUUAUUAUUUGUGCGAAUGCAUUAAUAACAAUUCUAUUAAGCUGAUGCUUCAAUUUUUGAAGUUAUUGGUCAAGCUACAAAGGGCUCACGGAGGAUACCUAGGCACACAGAGGCGAUGAAGG